rnacentral:rRNA from 1 species
AUACGGAGGAUCCGAGCGUUAUCCGGAUUUAUUGGGUUUAAAGGGAGCGUAGGUGGACAGUUAAGUCAGUUGUGAAAGUUUGCGGCUCAACCGUAAAAUUGCAGUUGAUACUGGCUGUCUUGAGUACAGUAGAGGUGGGCGGGAUUCGGGGUGGAGCGGUGAAAUGCUUAGAUAUCACGAAGAACUCCGAUUGCGAAGGCAGCUCACUGGACUGCAACUGACACUGAUGCUCGAAAGUGUGGGUAUCAAACAGGAUUAGAUACCCUGGUAGUCCACACAGUAAACGAUGAAUACUCGCUGUUUGCGAUAUACAGUAAGCGGCCAAGCGAAAGCAUUAAGUAUUCCACCUGGGGAGUACGCCGGCAACGGUGAAACUCAAAUGAAUUGGCGGGG